rnacentral:rRNA from 1 species
UGGGGAAUAUUGGACAAUGGGCGAAAGCCUGAUCCAGCCAUGCCGCGUGUGUGAAGAAGGUCUUCGGAUUGUAAAGCACUUUAAGUUGGGAGGAAGGGCAUUAACCUAAUACGUUAGUGUUUUGACGUUACCGACAGAAUAAGCACCGGCUAACUCUGUGCCAGCAGCCGCGGUAAUACAGAGGGUGCAAGCGUUAAUCGGAAUUACUGGGCGUAAAGCGCGCGUAGGUGUUUUGUUAAGUUGGAUGUGAAAUCCCCGGGCUCAACCUGGGAACUGCAUUCAAAACUGACUGACUAGAGUAUGGUAGAGGGUGGUGGAAUUUCCUGUGUAGCGGUGAAAUGCGUAGAUAUAGGAAGGAACACCAGUGGCGAAGGCGACCACCUGGACUAAUACUGACACUGAGGUGCGAAAGCGUGGGGAGCAAACA